rnacentral:rRNA from 1 species
UACGUAGGGCGCGAGCGUUGUCCGGAAUUAUUGGGCGUAAAGAGCUCGUAGGCGGCCUGUGCGUCCGCUGUGAAAUCCCAGGGCUCAACCCUGGCGUGCAGUGGAUACGGGCAGGCUGGAGGCAGGCAGGGGAGACUGGAAUUCCUGGUGUAGCGGUGGAAUGCGCAGAUAUCAGGAGGAACACCGGUGGCGAAGGCGGGUCUCUGGGCCGUUACUGACGCUGGAGGAGCGGAAAGCGUGGGGAGCGAACACGG